GGUUAGAACAUAUAGCUUUCAGUCGAUCAAGAGCAGCUUAAUACUGCUAGAGUUCAAGAACUGAGAAUUAAGUGUUAUUUGGUUUUGAUUAUGAGUAGACCGAUGCUUGCGAGACCGACUACGCUUAUCCGGGAGCUGAAACAAAGGCGAUCAACUCGCAGCCACUUCAGCCAAGAGAUCGCACGUGGGGGAGACCAGAAGGAACGAGGGACGGAGCGACACGGGAGGGUGGAUGAUUCAUCGUGGUGGGUCCCGCAUCCAAGGACAGGGAUUUAUUAUCCCAAAGGACAUGAAUGGGUGAUGGAGGAUGUUCCACGUGGUGCUUCCUGCUUUGGACAAACGUAUUGGCUGCGAAGCUUCGAAGGUGUGGAGAAGCCGGCUUCGGAUCCUUCCGCAGGCGACGUCUUUGACCAUCCGCUUCUUUAAUAUGUAAACCCACAUCCUCGUGACAUGAGUUCGUACUAUGUACUAUUCUCUUAAGGAGAAUAAAAUGGUUUUAUGGAAUAAAAAAAUAAUUAUAGUAAAAA